GGAUUAGGCAUGCAAGUCGAACGAGAAAGGCGCCUUCGGGUGCCGAGUAAAGUGGCGAACGGGUGAGUAACGCAUGGAUGACCUGCCUCUGAGAGGGGGAUAACGUCUCGAAAGGGACGCUAAUACCGCAUAACGUCGGCACCUUCGGGUGCGGACCAAAGAUUGCCUCUGCAUGCAAGCUUUCACUCAGAGAGGGGUUCAUGUCCUAUUAGCUUGUUGGUGAGGUAACGGCUCACCAAGGCAGCGAUGGGUAGCCGGCCUGAGAGGGUGUCCGGCCACACUGGGACUGAGACACUGCCCAGACUCCUACGGGAGGCUGCAGUCGAGAAUCUUCCGCAAUGCGCGCAAGCGUGACGGAGCGACGCCGCGUGGGUGAUGAAGGCCUUCGGGUUGUAAAGCCCUGUUGCCUGCUAAGAACGCCCGACGGUGAAUAGCUGUUCGGGUUGACGUCAGCAGGGGAGGAAGCACCGGCUAAAUACGUGCCAGCAGCCGCGGUAAUACGUAUGGUGCGAACGUUGUUCGGAAUCACUGGGCAUAAAGAGCACGUAGGCGGUCUGGUAAGUCCGACUGUGAAAUCCCUCGGCUCAACCGAGGAACUGCAUCGGAUACUGCUGGACUCGAGUGCAGUAGGGGAGAGUGGAAUUCCAGGUGGAGCGGUGAAAUGCGUAGAUAUCUGGAGGAACGCCAGUGGCGAAAGCGACUCUCUGGACUGCUACUGACGCUGAGGUGCGAAAGCCAGGGGAGCAAACGGGAUUAGAUACCCCGGUAGUCCUGGCCCUAAACGAUGGGCACUAAGUAGAGGGGUUUU
rnacentral:rRNA from 1 species